rnacentral:misc_RNA from 1 species
UCUCCGUAGGUGAACCUGCGGAGGGAUCAUUACUGAGUGAGGGCCCUCGUGGUCCGACCUCCAACCCAUUGUUGUCCGACUCUGUUGCCUCGGGGGCGACCCGGCGCUUCGGCGCCAGGGGGUCCCCGCUGGUCCACACAACUCUGCAUCUUUGCGUCGGAGUUUAAAACAAAUUAAACAAAACUUUCAACAACGGAUCUCUUGGUUCUGGCAUCGAUGAAGAACGCAGC